UUAACUGUUAAAUAAAGUUUGUAAAUUUAUAUAUAAUUUGCAUAUGAUAUAAAUAUUUUUUUAGUCAUGGGCAGCUCAUUUUAAACUUUAAUUUAUACAGGCACAUACACGACAUACAAUCUAGAAGAAUCUAAUAUAAUCAUGAAGAUCUCUUAAUGUUUGAAAUUCAAACUUAUUAAUUAAUUGGCUGAUUCAGAUUAUUGUGCAUGACUUAUGAAAUACGAGUAUACAGAAUAUGAAGAUCAGGAAGGUAUAUAUUCGUCACAGUUCAUUUACGAAAUACGUCAAUCAUUCAUGUGUGUGUUUGUGUUUUGGUCAACACAUUAAGGCCAACCUUUUAAUUUUAGAUCAGACAAUUAAAUCAUGUUGAUCAUUGAUCACUAAUGACCCUCAUGUCUCUCAUGGUAUCUUCACACGAAUCUUCCUACAUAGCUUGCACGACACGCACAGUAGUUAAUUUUCUUUUAAUACAAUGUUUCAUUACUUUCUAAAAAAAACAAAGAAAGAAAGAAAAAUCUUCGUGAUUGGACAUUUUAUUUUCAGUUUUCAAAAUUUUUUAAAAAAGACUACUAAAAUUAUUGUGAGAAUUACAUGAUGUGGAAAAUCCAUAUAUUCGAAAAGAGCCACUUGAUGGUGAGGUCCACUAUCCCCUUGGGUCGUAGUUAUCCCUUAUUCCUCCAUUGUUAGGGUGUAGAAUCUCCUUCUUCAAACCAAAGAAAAAUAAAUAUUACUCAAUAGGUUGACACGAAGCUAGAUUAAAUUAUUUAUGCCACAUCCCAUCCACAGAAUUUCAAUUUUAUCAACACCACUACUAUUCUCUCACUUGACCCACGAUUUAACACAUCUCUCCCUCAUGAUUCUGUAAUUUCUAUUUCCAAUAUGCGAAGCUGACUCAUGAGUAGAACUUAUCCGUUUCAGCCUAAAGCUAGAAGUUCCCUUCUAAAACAAACCAUUUUAUGCAAGAACUUACGGAAUAAUAUGGCGAAAUAUGGUCCCACAAUGAGGGAAGCUACUGUAUCAUUGCUUUAUAUAUAAAAUGGGCAUGAGCUUCAGCUUCUGUACUCAAAGCGAAUUCAAGCACAAGUCAGUUCCUCUUAGAACUUUUUCUGAGUUUCUCUUUUGAGUGCAGUUUCAGAAGCAGGCAAGAGCAAAGCUAAACAAUGGCACCUCAGGUGGAGAUUGCAAAGAUAUUCGGUCGACAAAAGAGUUUGGAAAACCCUCGGGCGCCUCAGAAUCUGUGCCAAUACAAGUUCUAUCCAACUUACAUGACUGCCACCACAGUAAUUCAGCUGCAACCAGACGAUGAUCUCAUUAAAUGCAACGAAGCUGCUUCAAGGUCCUUCAAACGAGAUAGCCGAACGGAGCUCAGCCACACAGGUUUGGUGGGUUAGUAAGAUUGAAGAACAUGAUCAUCACCACCAAAAUUUCACCUUUUUGUCUCAAACUAGCUAGCUAGCAGGUAGUCAAUAACCAGUAGCUUAGAUAUUUUCUUUUGUCUUCCUUUUUCAUGGCGCUUAAGGCUUUUUCCAGAUGACCAGAUCAUAGGCCAGUAUAAUACUAUUGUACUACAUACAUAUAUAUAUAUAUGUAUUAAUGCAUCUUGAAGCUUAACAGAUAUAGGCCCAAGAUCAAGGAUCUUCUUGCAUCUCCAAGAUCUCUAAACUUCUCCCUAGGCUCAUAUAUGUAUGUAUGUAUGUAUGUAUGUAUAACUCCCUGCAAAUCAUGUGCAGAGCGAAGUUAUUGCUGAUGUAUAUUCGUAUAUCAGCCAAGUUUAAUUUGUUCUUAUAAUCUUACUGCUUCUCUAAUGAGAUCUUCGUUGUAGUAA